CCUACGGGAGGCUGCAGUGAGGAAUAGUGGUCAAUGGACGCGAGCCUGAACCAGCCAAGUCGCGUGAGGGAAGACGGUCCUAUGGAUUGUAAACCUCUUUUGUCGGGGAGCAAAAGACGCCACGCGUGGAGUUCCGAGAGUACCCGAAGAAAAAGCAUCGGCUAACUCCGUGCCAGCAGCCGCGGUAAUACGGCGGAUGCGAGCGUUAUCCGGAUUUAUUGGGUUUAAAGGGUGCGCCGGCGGAAGAUCAAGUCAGCGGUAAAAUUGAGCGGCUCAACCUCGGCGUGCCGUUGAAACUGGUUUUCUUGCGUGAGUGCGAAGUAUGCGGAAUGCGUGGUGUAGCGGU
rnacentral:rRNA from 1 species